rnacentral:lncRNA from 1 species
ACAUCUCUUGGAGUUCUAGCUCACCUUUCUGGUGUUGUUCUUGUACUCAUCUGUUUAAUCUAGUUCUGCCACUUCUUCUUGAACUUCUUGUUAGAUUUCAAGUCUGUAUUUUGUGUCCGUGACAUAGGAUUUCUGUAAGGUUUGGUUUAGAAUUAAGAGAUUUCUUUAGGAUUUGAUUUAAGAUUUAGGAUUUUUUUAGGAUUUGAUUAAAGAUUUAAGAUUUAUGUAGGAUUUGAUUUAAGAUUUAAAAUUUGUCUAGGAUUUAAUUUAGAGUCUAGG